CGCUGGUGUGGACGUGCGAGUGCUUCUUCCUGUCGCUGCUGUUGGCGAAGCGCCUGUCACAGCCCUCGAAUUCACAUUUGAACGGCUUCUCCCCUGCAGGAGGCAAUGGGCGAGCACAGCCAUUAGCGGCGGCGGCGGGGCCGGGAGCAGCGCAUCCCUCACCCCCACAGCCCACAGCCCUCCCGGACCCCUCUCUCCGGCCCUGCCACGGCUCCUCUCCCCGCGGAAUCUCCUCUCACUAGCUCUGCCCUUCCCCGCGGGCCCCGCCGAGCAUCCCCCGGAGCCGCCGCUCCGUGCCCACCCGGAUGCGUGGCCGGCUCCGCACGCGGAGCGCCCUGCCAGCUUCUCCUCUUUCCCCUGGCCUGUGUGUGCGUCAUCGUAAGGGUUUGUGCAAAAGACAAAGCUCCGAAACAAGGAAAACUUAGAGGAGAACCGCUCGUUCCGAGCACACUUGUGCUGUCCCCGCAGACUCCGAAGUCCUGCAGAAAGAGCGGUCAGUGAUUUAUCCCUUCGAAGACUUUUACAUUAAAUACAUUUCUCACAGUCCCCCAGGCACGUGGAAAUAUUUUCCAUAACCUGGCUAGAUCAUAUUUCAUCCACUUCAUACUUGUACUGAUUACAAUGCCAUGGAAGAUCCACAUCCCCUUCCUUCCCCUGCUCCCCAGCUUGCUGAUACCGUGUGCUAAAGUAUGAAAUAUUUCAGAAAGACACUGAUUGUGGGGGAAAAACGAUAAAGAUUCAGCAGAAGGAGGACUAGGCCAGCGCACAGCACUGUCGCGAGGGUAGGAUUCCCUUUUCAUUUCAACCUACACAGCCACUGAAGGAAUUGCAAUCAAAUUAAAUUGUCUGAUCAGAUAAUAAGUGAUGUUAUGCAUAAUAGAAAUACAAUGGUGUUGCUGGAGUCGUGCGAAAGUAUAACCUUGAAUCGUGUGGACCUGGCAUGGUAGGACGAUAUACAAGAGGUUUUCUAGGAAACACGCCACAGCCAAAUGCAGGAUGAAAUGCUGACGGCAUUAUUGUCGCUGACAAUAGCAAACUGCAAAACCCUGCUUGCCAAGAGGUACCCAGUCCUGUACCAACCUAUUAUGAAAAUAUCCUCCUCAUCCAUCAAAAGUCAAAAAGUAUCAGGGCAGAGAGGACUCCACAAAAAUACAUGGCCUAACCUUAACGUGAAGUGCAAACAAAGCAAGUGCAAACAAAGCAAAGUGUUCACCAUCAUGGCGUAUGUAGCCGAAAGGACUUCCAAUAUUUGGUUUUGUGUGUUUGUUUUGUUUUUUUUUUUUAAUUUUAUUUCUUGGGUUGUGCGUUUCUGGUUGUUGUUUUUAUUUUUUUUCCCUCUCAAUUCGUCAUGAUUAAAUUUAGGAGAGACUGAGUCUACAUCGGGCUCGGCUGCAAGAAGAGGCAAAUAAAGGAAGGCAUUCCAAAUAUUUCACAUGAAUGCACUUUAUGCAAGGUGGGUGGGAAAGGCUCAUGGCUCCGCGUUUAAAGGAUGCCCUUUUCGCACUGUAAUAGUCAAUGAGGAGCACUGACAUCCUGCACCGCUAACAUUUGCACAGAGGAUGGGUAAAUAUCUGGCGUUGGAGGGAAGGGAGGGAAGAGGUUAAAAAUAAGGUCUCUCACAAAACGGUGCGGAUUCUGUAACCAAAUACCGUCGACAUACAGCGGUGCAUAUGCAUAGACGCACGCCCGCCUAUAAUCUAAUUAGAGUUCCACGUAAGGAAAUAAUUUGACCUUCAGCAUCUAAGUUGAGACGACAAAUCAAGGAUAUUAGUGCAGUACAAGCAAGCAGUAAGUUAGGAGACCCCAGGGGAAGCCAUCCUCAUAAGCACUCUGCUUGUGCAAAGUGAGUUCCAUUCAGGUAAAAGCGGGCUGCGCCGCACUGCGCUUUGCCGAGUUGAAAAAUGUUCAACUUCGCUUAACCCCCUGAAAGAGCCACUGAAAGGUCCGUCCGUGCAGCCGGGUUUCAAGUGGGAAGAGGGCAGCAUUUUCUCAGCUGCCCGGGUUGCAUUCCCUGAACGCCUCAAUAAAGGGGAGCCAUCCGAGCCAUUUGCAAGUAUUCCUUUGGCGAGAGCAGGUUUUCCUAGGCGGCAAUCCCUGCCCGGCAGGGAGAGGACACUGCGCCGGUCCCGGCUGCCGCAGCCCGGGCACGGAGCCGCAGCCACGCACAAAGUUCCGCGGGCGAUGGAGACUCAACCGCCAUUUUACCCCACACUUGUAGCUGGGCAAAAGUGUUCAGUGAAACUCAGCUCGGAAUCUGUGGCAUAAUCCCCCGUCUCCGGGAGUGGAUUAAGGGAAGGCGGUGAAGUGAUCCCAGCCCGUCCUGCUCGUCCCGUUGCAGCCGCCUUAACGGCCUUAUCCUCCAACCUGGAAAACUCGUACAUCGCCAGAUAUCCCUCUGCCUGCUCCCCAGCCUCGGAGAAAUCAGAAGCUAUUAAUAUUUAAGGAGGCAAUAAUUUUCCUGUUGAAUCUAGAACUGUCUUCAUGAAUAAUUCGUAGUGAGUUCUAUUAGGGUUUCAGAAACAUUGCGUUUUUGACAACUUCUGGGUGUUUAAUAGAAACGGUGGAACCAUAAAGGCCCUGCAGGAGUUUGCACAAUACAGCAAUUAAUCACCGAGAAAGUUAAAGCCAAAAGUACAGACGCGCCGAAUGGUGUUUAAUAAACGCAAAUCUCCGCUCUCGAGUUUGCCCUGAACCUGCAUCUCCGAUGUAGGUCAGUUUUCCCAAGAAUUUAACCAUUUUCUGCUUCAGAGACUUCAAACAGUGAGGCCGUUAAAGAGCAGUAAAAGUUUGUUUACUUAAGAAAAACACUGUCAUUAAGAGAUGAGCUCUCCCGGUUAAUGGCUGUACCUGUGCUGAUCCAACAAGGAGCUGGCUGGGAUACAAGUUACGUGACCCGGGGAUACCCCUUUUUCGAGGAAAAAGGGGGCCAAGAAGGCAGCCGAGGAACACAACUGUGCUGUCGUCCACCUCCUCCCCCCCACUCCCCGCCCCGCACACAGACUUACUCCUCAUAGAGCGAUGGAAAAAUAAUGAGGUGACGAGUGACGGUCGCUGUAAAAUCUCAGUGCUAUGUUUAGAUGAUAGCGAUACGAAAUUAGUGUAUGUUCUGCAUAUUAUAUCACGUCGCGCUCUAUCAUAAAAAAUGCAACUCCUGGAAGGUCAAGCCCUGCACCGAGCAUGGGGGAAGGGGAGUUUUAUGAACUGGAAGGCGAAAAAAAUCGUUUGGCUGUAAGCAGAUCUUACAAUAGGAUUAUGUAGUUUCCCUCGCAGUGCAUAAGGCUGUACAGAAGGGGGUGGGAGGUGGAAAACCCUACACUGGAACAGAUUAAAUUUUCCAAAAAGGGCUUAUUUCUUAUCUUCUUCUUUAGAGGGAAAAAAAAAAAGGAAAAAAAAAAAAAGGAAAAAAAAAAAAAAAGACAAGCCAGCGCUAUGGACUACAAACACCGGCUGCUAAACUAAUUAAUACAACUUCACAAGCUGCUCCUGGAAGUGUGAAAACUUUCUACGUGCAAUUUCAUUAAUUAUAAAUGCUUUUCUGGCCGGAAGAGUUCAAACGUAGUUCUGCAAGAUCGUCCAUCGUGUUACUUUAUUUUCUGUUAACUAGAACUAACAGAUGUUUCUGACACAUGUCCCAAUUUCACUUAACAGAUCUGCAAAUGACAUUUCAGAAUGUACAGGCCGAAACAAUACAAGGGUUUCUUUUCUUUCUUUUCUUUUUCUUUUUUUUUUUUUUCCCUCACGAGAAUCAGAAAUCGCAGCUCCCCAUAUUUGCGAAUGCAGAAAGUCGUUGGAAGGCAAUGCUCAUUAAAAAUGUCAGUGUUAUUUAGAUCAAACAUUUGAAACUCCCUCUGCCCAAAACAGAACUGUUGAACGAAAAGGUCGCAGCUGUGUUAUUCUCACAAUGUUCGAGCAGCAGCAUCUCAGCGACAUCAGUCAAAACUGACUAGACAAGUUGCAACUUCCAUUGUUCACUUUUAAUUUGUGAGCUUGCACAAUGAUUUAAUUUUUUCCCCCGACUACUUUAAAUCGAAAAUAAAAAAUCCUCGCCUAUUUGAAUAAGCAGAAAUAGUAGCUAUAUCGUUCGAUAUUUACACAGAUCUACACAUAUAAAUAUUACAGCAACCUCUCCACACAACCAGAAAAAAAUAUGGACGAGAAUUCUGAGAUUUGCUCUCACUCUCCCUUUCCCUCCCCCCUUUCCUCCCCCUUCUCCAAAUGGUAAAGAAGCAAACAAAUCUGAGAAUUUAUUUUCCAGAAGUACUUGGCGUGCAUUCAAUAACAACUCAAAGGAUACAUUAAAAAAAAAAAAAAAAAAAAAAAAAA